GAAAAUUUAGUUUAUUAAAACAUUAACUUGUCAAGCUAAAAUAACUUACUAAGUAAUUUUCU
rnacentral:tRNA from 1 species